UAGCGAGGUACGUUUCUGACAACCAGAACAUACUAUUAGCUACAAAAUUGACAAAUUUCACAAUUUCUAACAUUUCUGUUAAAAGGCAACAAUUUCCAUUGCAUAGCUGUAUCGAUAGCGAGUAAGCAAAGCACGGUGAAAUUGAAAUCGAACAUAACUCCCGUCAACCAUAAACCUACUAUCCGUUUUAUGGAAAUUAUAAAUAACACGGCAGGAACUCGUUAAUACCGUUACUCGAUGCAUUACGAGUGCGUGUAAGCAUUGCGUUAUCAAAACAGAAAAAAUUCGAACGCGCGUAGCGAUAUUUUAUCCGCGAGAAACCUCUUGGAGCAUGUAACCGUUCGCCAUUUGCACGUCCGAUGACAUUCUUGGAAUUAAAAUUAUGUUUUUCACUCGUCGACCGUAACCAAUUCGAUAUUUUUUACGCAUGUUUAGGGGUGAAUUUAAAGAAACCGGAAGAAUAAUUCAGAGGUUACUAGGAAGUUUCUUCAGGUAAUAAUGGUCUGGUUUAUUUAUCUGUUAGCCCCUUCGAUGGCCGUGCAAACAUCGUGCGUUGUCCCAUAUGUUACUCGUGCACUCCUUCGACCGACAUGUGCGUCCUUGUACCAAAAAUGGCAACCCCUCCUCGAUAGAAGUCAAAUAACCCGACUUCUGUUUCACAUUUUGUGUAUUUAAAAUAGUUUUCGGGAAAACAUUUCGUUAUCAUUAUCAGGGAUGUGUUGGCCAACUGAAUCGUCCUUGAAAAGUUAUCAAUUUAUUACAAUUUUUCUAAUAAACAUUGUCAACGGUUAUUAAAAACGAAAUAUGGUAUGAAAUCUUUCAGUAGUUUUGUCGAUCGGUAAAGACGGAAUUUAGAAAAAUCUCCAAUACUGCACUAGUACUCAACUAAAUCUCUGAGCUAUAGGAAUUGGAAGAUUAAUAUUUCUUUCUAGAUGCGUUUCUGGAUCCUUUCGCUUGUAUGUUUCACGUUACACCGUAAAAUGCGUCGAGUUCGACCGGCUUGGAAUUUUCUUCAUUAAUAAACCUAUCGAAACGAGCGAUUCGUUUUUCCCCUAGCAACCGGUUUCCUCGUGGUUGUGUUCACGAGUCGUCUUCGUAUACGGGAUCUAUUUCGGGUAAGACGACCGCCGUCGUCUCGACGCACCAGUAGACGUCAUUCUUCCGAGAUGCGAUCACCACGUACCAACGAACGCCGUCGUUAUGUCUAAGAAUGUACCAGCUGUCGGUACAUGACUUCAUUGCAAACAAGUUCAAACAACUUUGCGCCGCUGUGAAAUGCAAAUAUCAUAACUCGUCAAGGUUCUGCAUAUUAUCUACAUAAAUUACAAAAGAUACAUCAUAUCCCUUUGCUAUGCAAUUUAAAAACCGGAAGUACUCCACUGGUAAUUCUAAUUCGUCCUACGAUUUAGAUAAUUUUGAUUCUUUGCUCAUAUUGUAACAUAAUGAGUCGUUGAUUCUUCUCGUUAUCCCGUUAAAUAAUAGGAAUUCGCGCUCAAGCAAAUUAAUUCGAUAGCUAAACAUUGAAUUAGGCGAGAGUCAACUAAAAUAUCGCUCCAAUGGACGUAACUCGGACAAAGUUCUACCGUAUUUCCUUUUGAUGGUUAAUUUAAGCGCAUAAUUUCUCUUUCCUUCUUUGUAUGGCGGAACAGCGGAUGCACGUGUAUACACGAACACAGAUCGGUGGUUGUAACCACGCCUUUAGGUUCGCGGGGGGUCUGGCUGCCGCGGUAUACAUGGAACAAAGAAAAGGAAGAGAGGACUAAAUAUCUCGCUGCUCGAUUUCUGCGAACCGUUCCAGGAAUUGAUAUUUUUAAACCGUUGCAUUUAGGACCGUCUGUGACCUCGACGUCACUGAAGCGUCUGGUUCAAAAGUAACAUGGAAGUUUCGACGCAGUCAGAAUUAUGGAUCAGUUUCCGCGAAUUGUUUUCCUCAGGUGUAUACUUAAAGACAUAGAAACUCCCUCGAUAAUUGCACGAGGGAAGGACAAGGCGAGGAAAAAGAAUUUUUCUAUUCUUAGGAGAUAUUCUCCCCACUCGAAACUACGCUCUUUCUUCUCCUUCCGUUUCAUGCCGAGGCCAAAGGAAAUCAUCGAUUUUAUCUUUCUUCUUUGCUCUAUCUCCUUUUAAGUUUCUUUCUUUGCCACAGUUGCAUUAACUAGACGACGGACCCUCGGGUAAAAUGAAAUCGCGCUGCAAGCGAUCGAAGAAAUUACGAUAAAUCGCAGACAUACACUUUUCAGAGGAAAACAAUUUUAGCGUGAGAUUUGCUGCUAAAAUUAAAUUGACGAGACAAUGCCUGGCUAACGUCAUCCAUUCUUGAAAGAGACGCGACAAUUAUCUGAUACACAGUGUAAACACGAGACGGUGGAAUAAUUCAGUCGGUGUGGAAACGAACUAAUUCGUGCGAUCGCACGCGAUUGUUGUAAUUGAUGUGCAACCAUGCUAACGACAGGAUGCGUCCGUUUGCAUUCGUUUCACUCUAGAUCCUGUCAAUGAGUUCUCACGAAAUGUGUUCGUUUUAUUCCUCUUGGAAAUUGUAUUGUUUAUUGUCGUACAUUAACGAUGAUUUCCAAUGUAAUAUUUCCUUUUAGUCGAAAUGCUCAUAUAUCAUUUGGAAUCUGAAGAAUACUGGAUUCGUAAAGUCCAUGGUCUGAUAUAUAAAGUCCAAUAGAUCUCAAAGCUUUUCAACAGCGGAGCAUCUCUCUGCAGCUCUCGACUCUCUCGAGUUGAACGAACUUGCGCAGCCUGUGCACGGACUUCAACGACACCCUUGACGCCUCAGACGCCACUUACUAAUUCUCUGCCCUUUGCACCCACGCACGCACGUGCCUGCAGGCUAAUGCAAUAACGCGGUCGGAACUUUCUGUCAGGGGCUUAGCCUUGCUACCACGUGGUUUAUGCGCGUGCUGAGCCUAGAAGGUGACGAGAACAUACGUAAAUUGCCUACCGACAUUACUUCCUGGUUAUAUUUAGGCUCUCCUAACUCCAAGAUCGAAUUUCUUAUGGGGACGACCCCACGAAGAAUCCGCGAUAAACUGGCUGGAAUGGUUCAAUUAGAACUCAAGUUCAGAGUUUAUGGGCGGUCACUACUAAGAUCGUAGUGCUGCAGUAAAGAUUUGUAAUAUUUUUAAUUAAUACAAAAAUCGGAAUUAUAUUCUCAAAUACCGAUUUUUAACGUGGCUUCUUCACCUGAUACGUAUGUAUUAAUUUACCUAAAAUUAAUGUUAAAUAAUUAAAGUUGCAACAAGAAACACCGAAUUAGGGUGUUUACGAGUCGUAAUUGGUCGAUGCAUUUUGAUCGUCCAACCGCCCGAAUUUCGAACAGAGAAUAAAUAUAGAUCGAAUGUUCAGGUAUCCCCUAUUUUCAGCAGUUCCUCCCAAUCGUCUCAUCUACUCUUUUUUACUUAAUGCAUUCCCUAAAAUGGCUGCUUCCCCUUAUUUUCAAGACUUCCCUAUGGUACACGUUAAUGUGGGGCACGCGCGCCUGCGAGACGACGGACACGUGCGCGUCUGUGUAUGAAUUGUCAAACCUACUUGCGUCGGACAACAUCGGGCAGCCGUUUGAUACUUGUUGGCGUGAUUAAUACGAGUUCGAAGGUUGUAUAAAAAUGAAACGGAAUUGAGAUGAAGUAGAGGAAGAUCGUACUGGCAAUGAGCGAUAAGUCUGCUCAUAACGGAAGAAUUCACUUAAACGCUUCGAGAGGUACGGACAGAGAAAGGUACAGAGCUUUUUAGUUAUAGAGGAUACUUACUUUAUGGCACGUGAUGCAAAUGAACCAGAACUAGCAGU